ensembl:lncRNA
ACUAGCGCCACCUGGGAAGCCCAUGCUCAAGGGCACAGAGGCCUGAAACAAAGUCAGUUUCCUGAACUGCAAACCCCUGACUCUGGCUGGAGCAGAGUGGAUGGGGCGAGGCAGCCUGAGAUGGAGCUGGAGAAAUCGCUCAUGGGCUGGACAGCCGAGAGCUCCGUGCACCCCUUGUGGCUGACCUGCACUCUGUCCUGAGCUGAGGCCCUGAAAGAGCUUGAGGAGGUAGACAGAGCCUCCCUUGUGGGACCAUGGAGAAAGGUCUGGAACACUUGGGAUGGGAAGACUAGCUGGGAAUUAAUAGAAGAGCCCACCUAAGAAAUGAUAGGGACUCCAUCAGUCGCUGGCUGUAGAGGUAGAGAAGAAAGGAUUGGUUUGAGACAUAAUUAGGAUACAGAUGCAAUAGAAUUUGUCCAGUUUGAUUUGGGAGAGAAGGAAAAAAGUCCCUCUGCAGCACUGACCAUGGGGCGUGACGUCAAAUGAAGGGAAUCCACUCCAGCAUCUGUAGAGUGACACAUGACAGCACAGGGGUUAAGGUAAAAAGGGGGACAGGGACUUCCUGGUGGUCCAGUGGCUAAGACUCCAUGCUCCCAAUGCAGGGGUCCUGGGUUCGAUCCCUGGUCAGAGAACUAGAUUGCACGUCCCAAAACUAAGGAUCCUGCAUGCCACGAUGAAGUUCGAAGAUCCCAUGGGCUGCAAGUAAGACCUGGUGCAGCCCAAUCAAUAAAUAUAUAUAUAUUUUUAAAAGGCAGGAGGGGUAUUUCCCUGGCGGUCCAGUGAUAAAGAAUCUGCCUGCCAGUGCAGGAGACACGGGUUCAACCCCUGGUCGGGAAAGAUUCCACAUGUCGUGGGUCAACUUAAGCCCAUGCAUCACAACUGCUGAAGCCUGAGCACCCGAGAGCCUGAGGUCCGCCAAGAGAAGCCACUGCAAAGAGAAGCCCACACACCCCAACUCCACAGUAGCUUCCUGCUCCCCACAACCAGAGAAAGCCUGUGCAGCAACAGAAACUAAAAGAGCUGCUCUAGGAGCCCCGUGUGGAUCAUCUUGCUCAGUCCGCUCCAGCCUCCAACCUGGCAGGUGCUGUCGCCACCCACGACCUACAGCUGACGGAACCCAGGCGGAUUCCCGAGGUCCCAGGCGGCCUGGCCGGGACCUGGCAGAGCCGAGCUGGACUCCCAGGACCCACUCUCCGCUUACUGUCAUCACCCCUGUUGUUAGUCAAUCGAGAAUUAAAUCGUUUGCUAAUAAAAAAUGCCUACCUGAGUGUCUUGA